ensembl:lncRNA
AUAACAACCAGUUGACCAAUCAACACAGGGCAAGUCCUCCAAGCCUGGAGUCACAUCAUCCUGAGCCUGUGCGUACCCCUCGACACUCCCCUUAUGCUGCCCUAUAAGAUCUCUGUCCCGUGGUUUCUCCGGGUCUUUGUCACAGCCAUCUGCCACGGUGGAUGGACGAAAGGACGGAGCUAAUGGGGUUAGCUUGUUAAACUGCAAUAAAACCUCUUGCUGUUUGCAUCAAGCUUUUGCCCCCACCUGGUGAUUGGGAGUCGCCUCGGUCCUGGGCUGAAAUCCUGGGGGCCUGAGCCACUGGGUGUCUUUCAUUUGGGGGCUUGUCCAGGAUUUUCAACUACCCCUCACCUAAGUGGAGCCGAUCUUGGAGUUGUCCUGGAGGUCGUGAGACUGCUUUUACUGUGAUUGGUAGACGUGCCCAGAGGAUCGCAGACUGCUGCCAUGGGGGACGCUCCCAGGAGGAAUGGAGACCCAAGGAUGCUUGGGACUCUCCUUGGAUAGCGGUUGCAGCUGCCUGGUUCUGCCGCCUGUCUGCCCAGCACCAUUGCCUUCUGAGAUACUUUCAUUUUUGUGUCAUAAGCGGUGGGGAUGGAUUGGGUUGGCGUCUGUUCUUUUCUGUCUGUCUCUGUGUGUUUUUAUCAUUGGUUUUCAAUAUGGGACAGACUGUAACCACCCCCCUCAGUCCGACUCUUGGCCACUGGAUGGACAUUAAGGACAGAGCCCAUAGUCAGUUAAAGUUAAGAAAUAUAAAUGACAAACCAUCUGCACUUCAGGAUCCACCACGACACCCCCUUUCAUUGAGUCAUGUGGCGCCACACAAGGUAACUUUCUUUUUUCCUUGUUUCUGUAGUUUCUGUGAAGCCUGGAGGGUCAGAACAGGCUGUGUGACUGGCCAGUUGAGCAGGUUUGUUAUCUGAUCUGUUCCAAUCCACAUCCUGCUUUGCCUGCUUUUCAGUGCUGGCUUGGCAGAUCCUGAGCUGUAUGUUCUGUGUCAGUUUUGUAUUUUCAUGUCUACUGUCUUUGCUAAUUGUGUAAAUGUAAAGGUCCUAUUUGGGUUUGCUAGAGAAAUUUGUAGUAGGCCUACAAGAAUUAGAAGAGGGGAUUGAGGGGAUGCCCAAUCCCUUGUUUAGGACAGAGGUUUGGGCGGCAGCUUCCGAACCUCUGUCUGUUAAAAGGGGGCCAGGGGCCCAAGUUGGCCCAAUUUGUAGGAGGGGGACUUGGUGGGACCAAGUUGUCUGCUCCAUCUGUAAGGAGACCUAGGGGGGUCGCCCAAUCUGUAGGGGAAGACUUGGUUGUGGACCAAGUUGUUCCCCAUGUGGCUAGCCAUCUGAAAUUCUGAAUAGGACCCUAGCCUGUAUUACUGUGCUGUAUGUCCAAGUUUCAUGUUUGUGCUGUGUGUUUGUUAAGCCUGUCUUUGUUCUGACUCUGGAGGUCUUUCAGAACAGCUGUUGCUCUGAACUCCAGCGGCGUCUCUCUCUCUGUCCUUUACCGCCCACGCAUAUGGCAUGCAUGAGUCAGGGGUCUUUUCUUGUUGCCCUGAGCAUGUGGUGUGCAUGACAGGAGUUCCUCUGCCAUGUGCAGGGUCCCCUGCCUCUGAGCACAUGGUGAGGCUGCUUCUCUGAACUCCAACCAAUACUGCAGCCCUCACAGCUGAGCCUGGCAGGUGCAGGUGAGUCUAUCUCUCCAUCCUCUCCUGCCUGUCUGUGAGGCAUGCAAAGUGGGGCUCUCUCUGCCCCAACUGCCAUCCUGCUGCAGGUCCUAGCAUGAGACAGGAGUUUCCCUGCCCUGAGCACAUGGCUUGCAAGGCCACCAUUUGCCCGGCCUUCUCCGUGCCCCACACAUGUGAUGUGCAAAAUGUUGGAGCAGGAAAACCUCAGGGGUCUCUUUCCUGUCCCUGCAUGGGCAGAGAGUCUGGGCUUACCAGCGCCCCCCACAGGUUUCUGCCCUGAGCACGUGGAGCUGGGGUGGGUGAACCAUCUGGCCUGAUCUGGAUGUUCUAAAGAAACGGCCUUAAAGUUAUUAAAAACUACAAGAGGAAAAGAAAAAUGUAAACUGUUUACUAUAGGUUUUCAUGUCUACAAAUAAUAAAUUUUAAAAAUUGGUAAUAUAAACUAAAAUUUUAACCAUAUUAAUUCUAUUUUAAAACUUCUGUUUAUUUAUCAAGUAAAUUAUGUAUGCUUGUUUUAAAAAGUUCUAUCUGUUUCCUGGCAUAACCUAAGUUCUGUUACAAGCAUCCAGCUAAAACAAAUGGUGCAGGUUACCAUCAUUUUUGCAGUCAGCCACAUGGCAAGCUGGUCACAUGGCUGGCUGGUAGCCAUUUUGCUAAAGUUGAAAAAAGAUACCUAGAUUGCCAUCUUGACUAAAGGUGACCACAUAAAAAUUAGGAGGUACCAUCUUUUUGUUUGUUUGUUUGUUUUUGUUUUUGUUUUUUGAGACAGGGUUUCUCUCUAUAGCCUGAGAUCUGGUGCCCUCUUCUGGCCUGUAGUGUACAUGCAGGCAGUACACUGCAUACAUAAUAAAUAAAUAAAUAAAUAAAUAAAUAAAUAAAUCUUUAAAUAAAAAAAUACAUUGGGGACAAGACAAGGCUGUCCUCUCUCUCCAUACCUCUUCAAUAUUGUGCUUGAAGUUCUGGCUAGAGCAAUAAGACAACAAGGGAAUACAAAUUGGAAAGGAAGAAGUCAAACUCUCACUAUUUGCAGACAAUAUGAUAGUCUACAUUAGUGACCGAAAAACUACAGAGAACUCCUACAGCUGAUAAACACCUUCAGCAAAGUGGGAGGAUACAAGAGUAACUCAACAAAAUCCGUAGCCCUACUAUACACCGAUGACACAUUGGUGGAGAAAGAAAUCAGAGAAACAUCACCCUUUACAAUUGCCACAAACAACAUAAAAUACCUUGGGGUAACACUAACCAAAAUUGUGAAAGACCUGUACCAUAAGAAUUUUGAGUCUCUAAAGAAAGAAAUUAAAGAAGAUACCAGAAAAUGGAAAGAUCUCCCAUGCUCUUGGAUAGGUAGG